rnacentral:rRNA from 1 species
UACGAAGGGGGCUAGCGUUGCUCGGAAUCACUGGGCGUAAAGCGCACGUAGGCGGCUUUUUAAGUCAGGGGUGAAAUCCUGGAGCUCAACUCCAGAACUGCCUUUGAUACUGAGAAGCUUGAGUCCGGGAGAGGUGAGUGGAACUGCGAGUGUAGAGGUGAAAUUCGUAGAUAUUCGCAAGAACACCAGUGGCGAAGGCGGCUCACUGGCCCGGUACUGACGCUGACGGUGCGAAAGCGUGGGGAGCAAACAGGG